AUGGGGUGACUGCGUACCUUUUGUAUAAUGGGUCAGCGACUUAUAUUCUGUAGCAAGGUUAACCGAAUAGGGGAGCCGAAGGGAAACCGAGUCUUAACUGGGCGUUAAGUUGCAGGGUAUAGACCCGAAACCCGGUGAUCUAGCCAUGGGCAGGUUGAAGGUUGGGUAACACUAACUGGAGGACCGAACCGACUAAUGUUGAAAAAUUAGCGGAUGACUUGUGGCUGGGGGUGAAAGGCCAAUCAAACCGGGAGAUAGCUGGUUCUCCCCGAAAGCUAUUUAGGUAGCGCCUCGUGAAUUCAUCUCCGGGGGUAGAGCACUGUUUCGGCAAGGGGGUCAUCCCGACUUACCAACCCGAUGCAAACUGCGAAUACCGGAGAAUGUUAUCACGGGAGACACACGGCGGGUGCUAACGUCCGUCGUGAAGAGGGAAACAACCCAGACCGCCAGCUAAGGUCCCAAAGUCAUGGUUAAGUGGGAAACGAUGUGGGAAGGCCCAGACAGCCAGGAUGUUGGCUUAGAAGCAGCCAUCAUUUAAAGAAAGCGUAAUAGCUCACUGGUCGAGUCGGCCUGCGCGGAAGAUGUAACGGGGCUAAACCAUGCACCGAAGCUGCGGCAGCGACGCUUAUGCGUUGUUGGGUA
rnacentral:rRNA from 1 species